UAUAAGAUAUUUUUUAGAAACAAAGAAUUUAAUGGGGCAGCUUCUCUUUCACGCAUUUUGUACUUCAUUGGGUUCAAAUAUUAAAUGUUCAAUGUGUAUGUGUCGCAUGCGCAAAACAGCAGCUUGAUGGGUGCUCAGCUAGUCGACGCAUGACCACGCUUGACGUUGGUUAGUGACAGAUCAACAAAAAUCGAGCAAGUGAUUUCAAUUUAGGACAAGUGUCCGAAAUACUAGAAUUAAAUCAGUUAUACCGGUUAAUGCAAUUGUGUACAUGCUUAUUUAUUAAUUCUCUUCCUUCUGUAGCGUUAAUCGUUGCAAACAAUUCAUUAUUUAUCCUAAUUCCUAAACGACAUUACAUCCAAAUCAAGUUUGUUUUUGAACUUGUUAGGGAUAAAAAGUUUUGUGGUAAAAAAGCAUAAUGGAAGAUUCUUCAAAAUGUGAAGAUGGUGAAUCGAGUAAUAUGACUUCUGCGUGCUCUCAAGUGACUCAGGCACCUUCUGAUACGAAAUCUUUGGUAGACAAUAAAAAUACACAAGUUCGCGUUGUCCGAGGUACAAAGAAACUCAAGCUUGAUAAUAAUGAUCCUGUGAAUGUCGAGAAAAAGGAUGUAAAAGAUGAAGAAGCUACAGAAGCUAAAGUGAGAUCUCUAAAACGUUCUUGCGAACUCUGGUCUAUGGAGGAUAAGAAUACCUUUUUUAAAGCACUCAAUGAAUACGGCAAAGAUUUUGAUGCAUUGCAAAGUUAUUUUCUAAGUCAAGGCAAAAAGCGUGGUCUUUCAGAUGCUAUGAUAAAAAAUAAGGAGCAAAUUCGACAUUUUUAUUAUAGAACAUGGCUGAAAAUAUCAAAACAUCUCAAAUUCUCCGAAGAUGUGAAAAAAACCACCCAAGAAUUAUAUGGAUUGAUAAACUAUGGUGAACUUAGAAGAAAACUACCUCGUAUUCAUGAGAAGGUUCAUUUAAGAUUAAAUGAAUUGGUGUACUGGGGAUCUACACAAGUCAGACUCAGAGGAAAGACUAUGAGAAUUAAAACACCUAUAUGUAGAGCACUUAGAAAAUUAAACCAGCUGGAAGAUUGGCAGGAAGAAAUCAAAUUACCAUCUAGAAUAACAAUAGAACUUCGACCGCGCAACAACACGGCUUGGUGGCAAGUACAAUCAGUGUCAAUGAAUCCAAGAGUGCGCACACUUCUUCCAAUACAAAGACGCCUCUCGAGUUUAUUGAUAUUUCUACAGCAACGAUGGCGACUUACAAAAUAUACGACAUGUUCAACUGUAGAAAAUCUCGUUGCUUCUCUUGACGAUGUAAAAGAUACUCGUUUAUUGCGAGUGGCUCCACCAGAAGGAUGUAAAAUUGCCUUGCCAAUGGUCAAUCUUGGAGAAUACCUUACUAGCAAUAGCGUCAGCUUAAAUUCAUAUGAAAAACGCCUCGGGCUGAAGAGCUCAAGAAUAGACCUGCUGGGAUCAGUUCAACAUUUGAAAGGAGUAGGGAAAAAAGGAAUCAAACGAAGCAAGUCGGAUAAAAAGAUCUUAAGUCGCACCGAUGAAAAUUGCACAGUGCCAGAUGUCAGUAGCGACAUGGAUCUUUUAGAAACAGGAAGCAUGUCCGAAAGACCAGCAAUCAUAAAUAACAUGGAGAAACCAUCGUCGGAACAUCAUUCAGAGCCCAAUAGAUUCCCUGGCAGAGAAACCGUCGAAAGAAUACGAAAAGGUUGGAACGUCGAGGAAGCAAAUACGAUUACUGUGGGCGAUCUCUUUUUAAUGUUCGGUCGUGAAUCAAAAAUUACUUUGGAAUAUUGGUGGGACUGGCUACCGAACGAACAGUACACAACCGAUUCACCGAGUACCAUGCGUGACGAUAGUUCAUGUUUGGUUUUACAAAAGCUAUUAUCACUGGCGAAACAUAAUUACGGCACAAACAAGGUAUAUGAUAACACAUCGGGAAGUAGCGAAACGGUAAUUUCAUCUCGAGUUCCAUCUAUUAAGGAAUCUACAUUUAGAAGACCUCUUAUUCCACAAACAUAUCAUAAGAUUGAUACGACUGAUGCUUUUAAAACACAACUUGAUAAAUUUAAAUCACGCUUUAGCAAGCGAGGAAGGACAGUGAGACAGAAAAGUCUCGUAAUACAGAGAGUUCUGCCUAUUAUACCUGCGCCAAAUACUAUAUCCAAUAUGCCAUCGGAAAAUUUGACGACUGACGAAAGUAAAAUCGGUGAACCCUCAUUAUGUCAAACGCAAACUGACAAAAUAAUAGCGGUAAAUGCGAAUGAGGCUCAGGACAAAACCUUCUUGGAUGCAUUAGAAGCGGGCGGAGAUGCGAAGAAUUCCAAUUCGAUUAUUACCAGUGCUACUCAAAUUCUUAAAGAAGGCGAGAAUCAGUGGUUGAACAGUGAGGUUGCGGAUUUUUCAUUAAGCAGCUUUUUGGGACAGCUUGAAUCGCCCAUGAAAGGCUCGCAAAGAAGUCAAGCGGGUGAACAAAUUAUGGAAGAUCGUCCUUCUUCCGAUGUUGUAUCCCAUAUGCAAUGCCUCAUGGGAGAAAACAGUGUGGACUACAUGGUGAAAUUUGCAAACCUGGCAUCGCAAAUCGCUUCCGACGAAAAUAAGAAAUAGAUGAAAAUAUACAACGGACUUUAAUCUGCAUCAAUGCGCACUAGUACAUUCAACCAAAUUCGCUGUGAGAUCGAGCUAUAUGAUAUAACAUUGUACAUAAGCAAAAAAAUAGAUAAAUGAAUGGUGUAGCAACCGCUACUUCCGCUGCUGUUAUAUCAAGUCGGUUCCUUUUCCUGAGAAGAAUGUAAUGUUGGCGAUAAAAAUUGUCGACACGAAUCGGAUUGUGAUAUGAAAGUAGGCCAAAAACAUCUCACCGCAAAGACGUCCGUGUUCCUAGAAGCAAAACCAGCCUUUUCCUCGACGAGUUGCGAAACCUAUCAAAAUGAUUCAUAGUGCUUACGUCCACGUGAUCAUCGACAUACACAUCUGUCUAGAAUUUCUGUUAACUACCCAGGUAUAAUUAUUCGUCGACGUAAGCGAUACGUUCUCUCUUGAGAGAUUUACAAACUGAUCGAUUAUUCAAUUAAUAACAGGUUGGACAUUUUCAAUUAAUCAUACGUAAUCCAUUUCGACUUGAAUUAAAUAAGGUAAAAGUAUCAAGGUUCCCUAUAUUGAGAACGAUUUAUGAAAACUGCUAAAAUACAUACAAAAAAAAUGGGGAAUUACCAUGCUUACAUCAUAAUUGCAACUUAACAUUUCAACUGAUUGCAGGUAUACAGAUUUUGCUACAGUUUCAUCAUAUGCUUGCGUGUUUUAGCAAAAAAUGAUGUGAAGCGUUUCUCAUUGCAAAAAUCAUAAAAAUUAGCGAUGCAAAAAAAAUAUGUUACAAUAUAAGGAAGAGCAUGGCUGUACCGGCAUGUACACACGAUGACAGUGUGUGCAUCAUGCUGUACUAUAAAUAAACUUAACAUAGGCGCUCACUGCGAUAUCUGAAUGCAAUCUGAAUCGUUCUGAAAUUCGCUUGAAACAUCCUAUCAUCUGGUCUGUACGUUUAAUGGGAUUUUGCAAUAAUGGUACAAUUAGGAUUUCGUUAGCUAUCUGAUCCAAGUAAUU